CUAAGUAUUUUUUUCAUCUAGUAAUUGUAAGGAGUGAUGCAACUUUGAUUUUACAUGUGUUCACACUUUUGUAUUGCUCUUUGAUUUCCUUGGUGUCCACAUUGCUUAAUUAAUGUCUUAUUAGAAUGGGAACUGUUUAUCGAAUUUUAGACCUAGAGCUACCUGUCAACAAAGGUGGAGUAUAAGGACUACUGACAUUUACAAAAGUGUUGUAAACCUUGUGAUUAAAGGUACUAUCAAAGGAAAGAAAUGUGUUUUGUAAUAGAAAGUGUCAACAAUGAGCUAACCUAUUGAAAGUUAUGUUGGAAGAGUUU
rnacentral:lncRNA from 1 species